AACGAACGCUGGCGGCAUGCCUAACACAUGCAAGUCGAACGAGACCUUCGGGUCUAGUGGCGCACGGGUGCGUAACGCGUGGGAACCUGCCCUUAGGUUCGGAAUAACUCCCCGAAAGGGGUGCUAAUACCGGAUAAUGUCUUCGGACCAAAGAUUUAUCGCCUUUUGAUGGGCCCGCGUUGGAUUAGCUAGUUGGUAGGGUAAAAGCCUACCAAGGCGACGAUCCAUAGCUGGUCUGAGAGGAUGAUCAGCCACACUGGGACUGAGACACGGCCCAGACUCCUACGGGAGGCAGCAGUGGGGAAUAUUGGACAAUGGGCGAAAGCCUGAUCCAGCAAUGCCGCGUGAGUGAUGAAGGCCUUAGGGUUGUAAAGCUCUUUUACCCGGGAUGAUAAUGACAGUACCGGGAGAAUAAGCUCCGGCUAACUCCGCG
rnacentral:rRNA from 1 species